UAGCUUGCUAUUUUGGUGGCGACCGGCGCACGGGUGCGUAACGCGUAUGCAAUCUACCCUAUACUGAGGGAUAGCCCGGAGAAAUUCGGAUUAAUACCUCAUAGUAUUUAUGAAUCGCAUGGUUUAUAAAUUAAAGGUUACGGUAUAGGAUGAGCAUGCGUCCCAUUAGCUAGAUGGUAAGGUAACGGCUUACCAUGGCGACGAUGGGUAGGGGGCCUGAGAGGGUAGUCCCCCACACUGGUACUGAGACACGGACCAGACUCCUACGGGAGGCAGCAGUGAGGAAUAUUGGUCAAUGGGCGCAAGCCUGAACCAGCCAUGCCGCGUGAAGGAAGAAGGAUCUAUGGUUUGUAAACUUCUUUUAUUUAGGAAUAAACUCUCGGACGUGUCCGAGCCUGAAGGUACUAAAUGAAUAAGCACCGGCUAACUCCGUGCCAGCAGCCGCGGUAAUACGGAGGGUGCAAGCGUUAUCCGGAAUCAUUGGGUUUAAAGGGUCCGC
rnacentral:rRNA from 1 species